AGAGGAAAGAGUAAAUUAUGUAAGAAAAGUGUUGUGUGUGUGCCUGCGUGUGUGCGUGUCUGCCUGCGUGUGUGCCUGCGGUGGAGGGGGCGAUGUGCCUGCGUGUGUGCCUGCGUGUGUGUGUGUGCCUGCGUGUGUACCUGCGUGUCUGCCUGCGUGUGUGCUUGCGGUGGCGGGGGCGGGGGCGAUGUGCCUGCGUGUGUGCGUGUGUGCGUGUCUGCCUGCGUGUGUG
rnacentral:lncRNA from 1 species